CACGAGCCUCUGACCUCUCCAGGUAUGGGGCUGAUACCUUCUCUGUCUAAACACAUUUCAAGCUGAGUUUCUCUCAAACGUAAGAUUUUUGUCUAUAUUGCCAGUGUCCCUCCCUCUCUGUAUUUUCCCAUUAUCUGAGGCUUACUGCUGCCUGAAUGUCACCUACCUUGCCUUAUUUUACAGACCCAGAUCGUGGCUCCUAACAGCACAGAACAGAGAGUAGUGGACUAACUGCCAUGUGCAUAUGAUCUGUAGCCUUUACAGUGGCCUUGAAAGUUGCUAAUCCCCAUUACUGAUGAAGAGACUGAAGGUCAUGGGACACAAACUUCAGCUUGGAAGGGCACCUGGUUCCCCAGCAUCCCAGACAACAGUCCCCUGUGUGGCUCCUGGUGUGAUGUGCACUAGGCCCAGAAGGACAUGGAGAGAAUGUGCACAGCCUUGUCCCGGCGCUGGAAAACAGAAGCUAACCUGUAAGCAACUAGAGGAUGUUUUCAGCUCGUGAGGAAGACUUAGCUUUUAAAAAGUAAAAAGCAGGAACAGGACACCAGAGAAGUACCGGCUGCUUCCAGGGCUGGGAGUUGAUUCCUGUUAAUGCCAAGAAACUAGGAUGCCUCCAUUUCCUUGUUCUCC
rnacentral:lncRNA from 1 species